CUUCGCCAGAUAGAUUAGCUGGAACCGCCAGCCCUAGCUUGGAGUUCCGUUCCACGGAGUACCCUCCCUCCCCACCCCCAGCGUCAUCUCGCGCCUGGAGCCGGGUCGCCGCUCCUUCCGAAGUCUCGCUGGAAACUUCAAGGGCUGAUGGUUCUGUGUUCUUGACGUAAUUAGGAGGCCACGCAGCUCUCCAACACUCCGUUAAACAAAUAUACUCCUGCAGGCUCAGAUUUGAAGAGGGAAGGUUCCAGCCAAGUCCACCUUAAGCCUGAGUUUGGGCGACUACAGAAUCCAGGAAGAAAAUCUAGAUGGCAUGGUCGCUCCGGUCUCAGUUCUACAGGGGAGGGAAGAAAGGGGGUGUUAGUGGGGAUAUUUGCUGUUCAUUUUUCCCGCAAUCUCCCUUCCAAAUCAGUCACUGAUUAAUGAGCAAAGCCCAUGCCACAAGUUAUAGAUUACUGUGGACUGAGGAUCAUUUUGUUAAUAUCAGGCAAGAAACUUGCCUUACUUGCAUCCCUGUGUCUGUAUUUACAGUAACAACUUCCUUAGUCACAAACUGAUAUGCUUUUAGCCAUACCUUUUCUUCUUACUUACUUAUUUUUAGCAUCAUCAGGAGUUGGGAUAGGAAAUAACAUGGGGGAGGGGUGUGUUAAAGGGAAGGAAGGAAAAGCCAUCCUUUAUCCCAGAGUGUCCUGGAGGUAUGCCUACACUCCUGUUUAACAUCUUGUGGUUGUAGUGCCUUCUCCAAGCCCUGGAUGGAGGAGGAAAGAGUUGGAAGCCUCCUCAAAUCUGCCUAUGAAAGGGUAAAACUGAGGAAACUGGUACCCUAGCUAUGAGAAGCUGAGUAAUGAUCAGAAUCCUCUGGCCUCUGGCUUUUCUUGAUAUUAGUUCAGGUCUAUGCAAAAAAAUUGCUUUAGUGUCUCCAAAGGUGGUUCCAUUAGAGUUGGCUGAGACAAUACAUGUGCAUCAUUUUGGAAGAGAUGCUCUUAAAAAGAAGAAAGCCACUACAGAAUGCCACAUUUGCUUAGGUCUAAGACCCUUCUGUGGUAGUCGGUGAGGGAGGGAGGAAAGUAAAACCCCAAGCUGAAUAGGCCCCCCAUAGUUUCCGAGUGAUGCAGUAAACAAAUCUAUGAUGCUUGUUGAAUAAUCUUCCAAUAAUUGCAGUCAUUAAAAUCAUCACACAGUCUACAGUCACCUUCCUUCCUUUGACACACCAGUCUUUCCCUUAAUUGUUAAUGCAUUUUUGGCUCAGAUAAACACAUAGAGGCCAGCUUAAAAUAUAUGGCCCAGAUACAUCUAACAGCAGAAAAUUAGUUGUGUAACAAACGUUUGGACUGUGCUUAAUAGACUAGGGGUUUUCAAUUUCUUCAGCAGACCCUACAGAGGCAAGAAAGAUUUGCAUCUUCUACCACUGCUAAAUAGCAGUGACGCCUCUGAGAUACAAAAAAAAAAAAAAAAGAAAAAAAAGAUGAAAGUCCCAUUGGCCUAUUGAAUCUUCCUUGCUCUUUCAUUUGCAAGGGUUGGGCUGGAAUUAGGACAUUAUAGAACAAAUAUUAAAGGAAAGCUUAACAGAAACUGUGGGAGAGUUCCUCAAUUUUCAAUUAAUUUUCUCCAUCCAUUUGAUCUCAACAACUGGUGCUUUAAAAAAUAUAAAUAUGUGUCAACUAUAAAAGAUUCCCUGCUAAUCAAAGGCUGUAUUUCAUUUUCACCCACCACUGACAAGACACCAACCGUGGAAAGGAUUCACCCGACUCAACAGGCACUAUGGACCUUCCUGGGCUUCCUUCUCCCUUGUUCAUGGCAGGCAACAUUGGUACACAAGGGCAGCUUUUUCUUUUUUUAACUCAAGUUAUUAAUGUAUCUCCGCAACUCCCACACCGUGCUGACCUGAUAAUCACUGCUCUAGUGAAGAUCAUGCAAAUGAAAAGCAUAAUUAAUUGCACAAAUGAUUUAAAAAGGAGCGCUGUGGCUUUGCAAAUAAAUAAAGGCAGUUGGGAGGACAGGUCAGAUAAAUGCUUUUUAUAGGCUGGGCUCCCUUCACCCCCACCCCCGCCUCCUGGUCCCGGUGGUCCAGACUUUGACUGCAGCCAGCCUGGCCAAGGCGAGCACCUUCCGUUCCUCCUCCCCUAACGCCUCCCCUUCAACCUUAUUCCGGAGUCCCCCUAACUCCACCUCACCCCACCCCAACCUCACCCCACCCCAGUGGUGUAUACCCGCUGCUAGACUCUGUGCUAGGUCAAAGCUCCGGGGAGACUGGGCAGCCACCUAAUAUUUAACCAGCUACUACAUAUCCAGUUAUUCAGAAAAUAACUGGUCCUCCCAGUCGCCACUACGCUUCCUGCACAUCAGGAAGAAGCAUUUUAUCUGUGGCUAUUGGACCUGUGAAGGAGGUCCAAUCCUUCCGAUUAGCGCUAAUGACCGAAUUGUUUCCCUGGCUUUGCCUGCUAAACAGAGCAACUUGAGCAGUUGCUCAGAUCAAAGCUCCCGGGAGAGGCAAGAUGGGA
rnacentral:lncRNA from 1 species